rnacentral:rRNA from 1 species
GGGUUCGAUUCCGGAGAGGGAGCCUGAGAAAUGGCUACCACAUCCAAGGAAGGCAGCAGGCGCGUAAAUUGCCCGAAUCCUGACACAGGGAGGUAGUGACAAGAAAUAACAAUACAGGGCUACUUCUAGUCUUGUAAUUGGAAUGAGUACAACUUACAUCUCUUCACGAGGAUCAAUUGGAGGGCAAGUCUGGUGCCAGCAGCCGCGGUAAUUCCAGCUCCAAUAGCGUAUAUUAAAGUUGUUGCAGUUUAAAAGCUCGUAGUCGGAUUUCGGGGCGGGGCGACCGGUCUGCCGAUGGGUAUGCACUGGUCGGCGCGUCCUUCUUUCCGGAGACCGUGCCUACUCUUAACUGAGCGGGGGCGGGAGACGGAUCGUUUACUUUGAAAAAAUCAGAGUGUUUCAAGCAGGCAGCUCGCUCUUGCAUGGAUUAGCAUGGGAUAAUGAAAUAGGACUUUGGUGCUAUUUUGUUGGUUUCGAACACCGAAGUAAUGAUUAACAGGGACAGUCAGGGGCACUCGUAUUCCGUCGAGAGAGGUGAAAUUCUCAGACCAAUGGAAGACGAACCACUGCGAAAGCAUUUGCCAGGGAUGUUUUCACUGAUCAAGAACGAAAGUUAGGGGAUCGAAGACGAUCAGAUACCGUCGUAGUCUUAACCAUAAACCAUGCCGACUAGGGAUUGGGGGAUGUUCUAUAUUGACUCCCUCAGCACCUUACGGGAAACUAAAGUCUUUGGGUUCCGGGGGGAGUAUGGUCGCAAGGCUGAAACUUAAAGGAAUUGACGGAAGGGCACCACCAGGAGUGG